UCUAUUUUGGCAGAUAAGUGCAUUAGAUUUAGGAUUUAAUUAUAAAUAAUUUUAUUUAAAUAGAA
rnacentral:tRNA from 1 species